GACGAACCGUGCGAACGUUGUUCGGAAUCACUGGGCUUAAAGGGUGCGUAGGCGGGCGAUCAAGUCAGGGGUGAAAUCCUCCAGCUUAACUGGAGAACUGCCUUUGAUACUGGUCAUCUUGAGUGAGGUAGGGGCGUGCGGAACUGAUGGUGGAGCGGUGAAAUGUGUUGAUAUCAUCAGGAACUCCGGUGGCGAAAGCGGCGCGCUGGACCUUUACUGACGCUGAGGCACGAAAGCCAGGGGAGCGAACGGG
rnacentral:rRNA from 1 species